GGCGUGCUUAACACAUGCAAGUCGAACGGAAAGGCCCUGCUUUUGUGGGGUGCUCGAGUGGCGAACGGGUGAGUAACACGUGAGUAACCUGCCCUUGACUUUGGGAUAACUUCAGGAAACUGGGGCUAAUACCGGAUAGGAGCUCCUGCUGCAUGGUGGGGGUUGGAAAGUUUCGGCGGUUGGGGAUGGACUCGCGGCUUAUCAGCUUGUUGGUGGGGUAGUGGCUUACCAAGGCUUUGACGGGUAGCCGGCCUGAGAGGGUGACCGGCCACAUUGGGACUGAGAUACGGCCCAGACUCCUACGGGAGGCAGCAGUGGGGAAUAUUGCACAAUGGGCGGAAGCCUGAUGCAGCAACGCCGCGUGCGGGAUGACGGCCUUCGGGUUGUAAACCGCUUUCGCCUGUGACGAAGCGUGAGUGACGGUAAUGGGUAAAGAAGCACCGGCUAACUACGUGCCAGCAGCCGCGGUGAUACGUAGGGUGCGAGCGUUGUCCGGAUUUAUUGGGCGUAAAGGGCUCGUAGGUGGUUGAUCGCGUCGGAWGUGUAAUCUUGGGGCUUAACCCUGAGCGUGCUUUUCGAUACGGGUUGACUUGAGGAAGGUAGGGGAGAAUGGAA
rnacentral:rRNA from 1 species